rfam:Bacillus sp. MTM 13 38, whole genome shotgun sequence.
AAUUAAAAAAGGCAAAUUCAUUGAAAAAUGGAGACGCAAAGCUAGAGGGACUAAGGCGUAAAAGCUAUGUCAGCCAGUUGCCGGU